UGGGGAAUAUUGGACUAUGGGCGAAAGCCUGAUCCAGCAAAGCCGCGUGUGUGAAGAAGGCCUGCGGGUUGUAAAGCACUUUCAGUUGGGAAGAUCAUGACGUUACCAACAGAAGAAGCACCGGCUAACUCCGUGCCAGCAGCCGCGGUAAUACCGAGGGUGCAAGCGUUAAUCGGGAUUACUGGGCGUAAAGCGCGCGUAGGCGGCUAGGUCAGUCAGAUGUGAAAGCCCCGGGCUUAACCUGGGAAUAGCAUUUGAUACUGCCUGGCUGGAGUAUGGUAGAGGGAAGUGGAAUUC
rnacentral:rRNA from 1 species